rnacentral:rRNA from 1 species
UACGUAGGGUGCGAGCGUUAUUCGGAAUUACAGGGCGUAAAGCGUGCGCAGGCGGUUUGUUAAGACAGAUGUGAAAUCCCCGGGCUUAACCUGGGAACUGCAUUUGUGACUGGCAAGCUAGAGUAUGGCAGAGGGGGGUAGAAUUCCACGUGUAGCAGUGAAAUGCGUAGAGAUGUGGAGGAAUACCGAUGGCGAAGGCAGCCCCCUGGGCCAAUACUGACGCUCAUGCACGAAAGCGUGGGGAGCAAACAGG